rnacentral:tRNA from 1 species
CCGGGCGAUGGCCAAGGCCAUGGCCGAGGCGUACGGUGUCCCGCCGACCACUCUCGGCCAAGGCGGUUCGAUCCCGCUCUGCACGGU